UACGUAGGGGGCGAGCGUUGUCCGGAAUCAUUGGGCGUAAAGCGCGUGUAGGCGGCUCGGUAAGUCUGCUGUGAAAGUCUAGGGCUCAACCCUGGAAUGCCGGUGGAUACUGUCGAGCUUGAGUCCGGAAGAGGCGAGUGGAAUUCCUGGUGUAGCGGUGAAAUGCGCAGAUAUCAGGAGGAACACCAAUGGCGAAGGCAGCUCGCUGGGACGUGACUGACGCUGAGACGCGAAAGCGUGGGGAGCAAACAGG
rnacentral:rRNA from 1 species